UGACAGAGAGAUUUCCUGGGCCUCUCUCUCACUGCAGUAUGUAUUACAGGUGCUAAAAGUAUUACGUAUAUUUUUUAUUUGAAAGGUCUGUUUUCUAUUACCAUGCCUACAACAGAAAUGGUACAUCUGGUUUAAGGUCCUUGUGAUGUCUGAUUAUUCUGCUGUCUGAGAGGGUAACCACCACUACUCAGUUUUCUGUUACCUCUUCUGCAUGCAGCCAUGGCACUGUAGCACAGGACUGACAGUGUGUGACCUUAUGGUAUUCCCAGUCUGACCUUGUCAUGCGACCACCAUUACUAUGGUUGCUUGGCUACAAAAUAAGAAAGAUGAGAAUCAGAACUGAUAUGCUGAUGUUUCUUCCACUAUACUGGACACACAGCCUCUGGCAGAGGGGUAUGGAGUUGAGUGGAAUAGGUCUUCAGGCUUACUGAAGUCAAGUCCUACUACUGCCUCUUGCCACUCCUUGGCUGGCGAAGAACUUGGCUGUCUUGCAGACUGUGAGAUUUCUCUUACAGCAAAUAAAAUCAUUAGGCUGAAUUGAUAAAUUUUGUUUCCUUCCCUAUCUUUAUAGUCAGAAUAAGUCUUAUUUUCACAGUGCUAUAAAGGACAAAUGCUACGCACUGGGAACAGAACUGAUACUUCCAAGGCUUGUACAGAAGAUUGACUUUCAAGGCUAGUCUCUUUUCCUGUAGAAAAUAUUUUCUAUUGUACGGUAAAUCACACAUGAAUAUGUAGUUUGACAGUAACAGAAAUGCUGAUACUCCUUUGGUUUCAUUUAAAAAAGCUGUCAGUCAUCUCUCAGAAUCAGAGUCACAGAGGCUGGAAGAGAUCUGGAGGUCUGACACCCCCAGCUCAAGCACACUGUUCAGGACUGUAACCAGAUGGUAUCUCUAAGAUAUCUCUGGAUAUCUCUAAGAAAGGGACUCCGCGACAUCUCUCUGGGUAACCUGUGUCAGUGCUCAGUCACCUGCACAGUGAGAAUGUGUUUCCUGAUGUUUACAGGAAACUCCUGCCUUUCGGUUUGUGUUCAUUGUCACUUACCCUGUCACUGGGCACCACUGAAAAGAACCUGACCCUGUCCUCUUUGCAUAGUCCCUUCAGAUGUACUUAGCUACACUAAGAUGCCCCCAGAGCCUCCUCUUCUACAGGCUCCAGCUUUCUCAGUCUUUCCUCAUAGGAGAGGCACCCCACUCCCUCCUUCAUCUUUCUGGCCCUUUGUUGGACUCUCUUCAGUGUGUCUUUGUCUCCCUUGUACUGAGGCACCCAAAACUGGACACAGUACUUCAGCUCAGGCAAAACCAGUGCUGAAAAGAGGGGAAGGAUCAUCUCUCUUGACCCUCUGGCAAUACUUUGCCUAAUGCAGCCCAGGAUACCAAUGGCCUUCUUUGCAGCAAGUGCACAUUGCUCAGCAUGGUGUCCACCAGGACCCCCAGAUCCUUUUCUGCCAAGCUCCUUUCCAGCCAGGCAGCCCUCAGUGUGUUUGGAUUUGUUCUUGCCCAGAGACUGGGCUUCAAACUUGUCUUUGAAGAGCUUUAUAAGAUUCCUGUCAGCCUGUUUCUCCAGCCUGUCAAGGUCCCUCUGGAUGAAAGUUUGUCUGCCGUUCUUAAGAGGAGCAACUUCAAGAUAUGAUUGAUUAAAAAAAAAACAAACAAAAAACAACAACAACAAAAAAAAAACCAGUUCCAAAGGAUAAAUAAUUUUCCCUUCAGAAUAAAACAGAUUAGAGCAAAUGAUGUGUUUUGAAAGCAGUUUCCUCAAUCACAUAGAGCACGGAAGGAAGACUGGAGGAGUAAAGACACCAGCCAUUUGGAG
ensembl:lncRNA